CUAUUUCAGUUUAUGGUUUGUCAUCAGCUCAUCAAGCAUGCAACAUCUAGAUAAUAGUUGAACCCUAUGAUGAUGCACUUUUGGGUGUACAGAAGAUUUACUAGAAAAGACACAUGCAUGAUAGUGCUCUUUGUCAAUAAUAAUAAUGCAUUUGUUUAUAUAUAUAUAUAUUGGGAAAUAAUUAUAGGAGAUUGUUGGAAAAUAACGUGCUUUGUGGACUGUAUCUAUGACUGGUAUGUCCAUGUUUUUCACUAAGUUUGACCUUCCCAUGGUUCUUUCUUCUAUUAAUCGAAAUCAUAAAAAACAGUUAAGUGCUCAUCGUCUGGUGCAUACACUGCUUAAAACUUCUUGCAACAUUUGGUGGCAAGUCAUGCCUUCAUAGGUCUCAUCUUAAAAUAAGCUUCUGCAGCAAAGAGGAAGGACUGUCUGCAGCGUAUGGAGGUUGUCACACAACAUGAAAUUCUAACAGGGUUUUUCUUCACUUGCAUACCCUACAACAAGUGGUUUUGAAUUGACAGGAGUUGAAUUAUGAACCACUACAAACAUAUAAAUGAUAUCAUUAGGCAUUUACUGUUAGCUGCAUAUUGUGGUUAUAGUUCAUCUUAAGUCCUAACGAGUUACAUCACGUUGCAUCUAGGACACCUGGCCUCUUUUUAAGCAUGUUUACGGCCCAUCCAUUUUUAGAAGCUUUGGACAUUGACUACGAACAACUAAUAAGUGUAUGCCAUCAACACUGAAAAAAUGAAGAUCAUGAAAGAGGAGGCUUUUAACGUGCAUCAUCAACCUCAUAAAUAUGUCAAUACGAAAACACAGAAAAUAUCUCUGCUUCUGAAAAAGCGGAUUGCCACACCAAAUUGGAUCAAGCAUAAGGAGCGCAGAGAAGUUCACAUGUUCGUAGACCUGCUUCUUCAAGAGGGCUUUUCAAAGUUCUUGCAAUAUAUAGGAGAUAAGGCAUAUCAUGGAGCUUCCAAUGGAGCAAUCAUAAUCUUCUCAGAAAUUUCUUGAGCUUAGUUCCUGGGUGCAAAAUAGAGCUGCAAGCUGCAGAAAGCGAAGUCAAGCAGAUUUUAGUUCGCUGCUCAACGCCAAAGCAUCAUCGCUCUGACAGCACUGGUAGUGCAAAUUCCUCUCGCGGUAACCCUCUUCGGGACGAAAAAAUUAGCAUACACAGCAAGUUCGAAGCCAACUGCUUGAAAGUCAUCUUGGUAAGAUUUUAAAGCAAAAAAUGGAGAUCUUCACAAAAAUUGAGUUUACGCAGGAGUCAGUGAUCUCAACAGUUGUGAAACUCUUCUUGAAAAGCUUUGUACAGUUUGUGAGACUCCAGACGUUUAACCACAGUGGAUUUCAACAAAUCCAGUUGGACAUGCAAUUCCUUUGAGCACCUCUUAUAGAAAUUGCUGAUGAUGAUGCAGCUAUUGAUUUCCUACUUGAUGAGGUCUGUGUGGCAGCUGCAGAACGUUGUCUUGAUUCAAUUCCUCUAGAGCCAGCUAUUUUGGAGAAACUGAUCCAAGCAAAAUUGCCCAAGAGUUGAUCAAUGGAUCUGAUGGUUUGAAAAAUAUCCGAUGCAUUAUUCUGCGGUUCAAUAGGUGGUCAUUCGCACACUGGCCUGUGCAUGCUUCACUGUCACCACUUUUUUUCUGUAUUUCCCAAGAUCAUGCGUACGGAAUUUUGUUAGGGAUAGAAGUCUUCCACAAAAAUUUUAGACAUUUUCUAAGUUUUCCUUUUACUUAACGUAGCAGCUUGUGUGGGCCACUGUUAGAGGAGUUUGGCAGUUCGUUUGUGUUCUCUUGGGUAAUACGGCAUUGAAAACUGAGCUCUUUCCAUCACAUGCUCAUGGUCUUACCGUGCGCAGACCUUGCAGGCAGGUUCUUCUAGAAAUUCAUGAAUAAAAUGUAACUGCCACGUUGUGAUGGGACAGUCCCAACUUUCUUCUUAAAAUUGAAUUGAGAAGGCUUUUGUUGCUUAAAGGGAGAUACUGCUCAAGGAUCUGUUGUACGUGAUAACUUACUCUGGUUGUCUUUUUAUAUAUGCUUAGAUAGUGCACGCAGCGCUGGUUGGUUGUUCUAGGUUUGUAUAGUUACCGGCUUAGGUUUUUGACAUUGUACAUUCGGGUUAUGGAGCUUGUUAGAGGCAGUUCAGAACUAUCUUUCUGCGGUGAGUACAUGACAUUUUCUUUCUUUUCUCCUUUCUUUCUUUGUUUGUAUAAACAAGCUAUGGUAGCAGAUCCGACCAAAAUGGCAGUGGCAUAUUGAAUUUCUUCAGAUUGAAGUUCUCAAGUCCAGCCCCCAGUUGGUGAUUGAAACUGGGGAAGCGAUCGGAGAGUCGGUGUAGAGCGUCGCGCCGACUUGCUGCUACGCCAUGUUAUCACAAUACAAUCUGCGAGGUGCCAAAGGCAAGGAGCGGCCCGUCCAAAGGAGGUGAGCCCGGCCCAUGACCAGGGAAACCUGGAAGAGACGGUGAAUAGGUUGGUGUGGCCACUCAUGAGGAAGCCCUCGGCUUUGCUGCCGAGACCUUUGAGAGAUUCAAGGAGAUGAAGUUGAUGAUGGUCGAGUCAGUCAGUGGCCAUGGCCAUGAACCGAUCGCUCUCCGACUUGGUUAAGAUCAAUCGCUCUCCGACUUGGUUAAGAUCAACAAGAUGAAGUUGCUGGACGGGCUUCAAAUCAGAGAUUGUUACGCACGAACUAGCUAGUAGUAGCCGAGGACCAGUAGGGUCCACGUUCAAUGUUCGGGGUAGCCGGGAUGCGAGGGCGAUCGACAACUUUCUGUUCUAAGUGGACUACUACCUGGACCUGCAGUAGAAGAUCACCGCAGAAGAUCACCGCAGCAAUGUUGUUAGAAGGGGAUGUUGUGGCUUGGUGGAAGCGGAAAAUGCUAGACAUUGAGAAUUGCACGAUUACUACUUUCGAAACAAUUGAAGGGGUACUUUAUGCCCGUCGAUGCCGAAAGGCAUGCUUAUAGGUUGGUUGCAAACCUAAAGUUUGCAAACCUAAAGUAAACUGCCAUGUGCCUAUGAUGCACAAACUUCAAUCAUAGGGCUCCAAUCUUGGGUCGACGUGGAGAGAUCGAACCCAGAGACCUUGGAGCAAGCAUAUGUGGCAGCCGAGCGCUUGGCAGAUACCCAAUGCAAGAUACUUUCAAGGCUGUGUGAAGAAGUCCGACUAAGAGAGAUGAUCGGCGAGACCACAACAAAAAUGAAUCGGUGUUCCAGAAGCCAACCAAGAGAAAAACCAAGGACUACACUGGCCACCAAGGAAAGUGACUUGCUGGGUCUCUAAGCACCAAGCUUUGGGUCUGUGGAGGUAAGCACCAAGCUUCGCGUCUGUCCGAAGAGGGUGAGACCUACCGGGCAGGCCAAUGCCGCAAGGGCCACUGAAGACGAGACCGAGGAAGGGCAGACACGAAGUCAAUGCUGUACAAAGCCGCGCAGCGUCUAGCAGUUUGGUGAACAAGGAGCUGAUGUACCUAGACGUCACUGAAUGGAACCUAGACGUCAUUGAAUGGAACGUCUAGACUCCGGGGCUACACAUAACUUCGUCUCGAAAGAGGAGGCGGAGCGAGUGGGAUUGAAGCAUGUGCCACAGCAGCAGUGAACUCUGAUGGGAACGGUUCUCCAGUAGUACCUCUGGAUGAUUUCAAGGUGAUUUUGGGGAUGGAGUUCCUUCGAGGUCAGAAUGCGAGGUCAGAAUGCAAUGAUGUUGCAAAAAAUCAAUUGAUGGGUGCGGAUCAGUCCCACACAGUGCACAGUGCACUGCCACUCCAUCACUCUCAGCCGAUGUUGUCGGCCAUGCAACUGAAGAAGGGCGUGCGUCAUGGGGAACAAACAUUCCUCGUGGCCGUGCGUGUGCAUCUAGAAGAAGAUGACCCUCAGCCGAGAGCCAUUCCGCCCUUCCGCCAGGACUAGCCUCAGUCCUCAAGCAGUUCGAGGGAGUGAUGCCCCCCGAGCUGCCCAAGCGCCUACCCUCGAGGCGUGAAGUUGAUCAUGAAAUUGACUUGGUUCCCGGAGCCAAGCCACCAGCUAUGGUCCCCUAAGAAUGGGACCGACCGAAUUGAAGGAGCUGGCAGCUUGAUGACAUGGAUCAUCCGCCCCUCUAAGGCACCAUUCGGGGGGGCUCCUGUAUUGUUCCAAACGAAACAUGAUGGCUCUAAGCGACUCUGUGUAGAUUACGCCCCUUGAACAAGGUGGCGGUGAAGAACAAGUAUCCCUUGCCUCUCAUUGCGGACUAGUUCGAUCAGUUGGGCAAGGCGAGGAUCUUCUCUAAGUUAGACCUUGGCAGGUCAGGAUUGUGGAAGGUGAUGAACCAAAGACCACUUGCGUCACCCGCUAUGGAGCAUAUGAGUUCCUAGUCAUGUCAUUCGGGUUGACGAGUUGACGAGAACAAGAUAUUCUACCCUUACCUAGACAAGGUUGUGGUGGUCUUGACAUUGUGGUCUUUCGCAGCGACCUUGAGGAGUGUUCCAAGUACUCAAAGAAAAUGAAAGGAGAAGUGUCUCUUUGGACAGCAGGAGAUCAGUUUCCUCGGCCAGGAAUGGCCAGCUGCGAAUGGAUCCGGAGAAAGGCUGUUCAAGAAUGAAAGCCGCCUUCAAAUGUGCCUGAAUUGCGAUCCUUUCUUGGGUUAGCUAACUACGUUCAUCACGGGGUACUCAUUGAUAGCGGCGCCCCUCACUGAGAAUAGAUUCUGGCAGUCCGCCCAGGAUGCCUUUGAAGGCCUGAAGUGUGCCCUUGUACAAGAGUCUGUCCUCAGGUUGCCAGAUCACUCCAAGCCCUUCGAAGUACACAUAGACGCCUCAGACUUUGCCAUUGGUGGGGUAUUAAUGCAGGACGGUCAUCCGAUUGCAGAGUUGGAAGUUGAAGGACCCUGAAAAGCGGUACACAUGAACGGGAGAUGACCGCAAUUGUGCAUUGCUUGCGCAUAUGGAGGCACUACCUAGGGGCAGAGUUCGUCGUUAAGACGGACAAUGUGGCCACGAGUUACUUCAAGACUCAGAAGAAGUUAACUCCGAAGCAGGCUCGUUGGCAGGAAUUCUUGGCAGAGUUCGAUUUCGCUUUAGAGUACAAGGUUGGAAAGACCAACAUGGUUGAGUAGAAAGACAGAACUCACACACUUGGUUGCCUUGGCUGAAGCGGGGAAGACUCAUUGCUCCUCACCAAGGGCGGACGAGUUUUCGUGCCGAAGUGGGGCAAUCUCCGAAGGGAGCUAACAAAGGAGUGCCAUGAUACGCUUUGGGCUGGCCAUCCAGGCCAGGAGCUCUAGCCUUUCUUGAACAUGGCUACUAUUGGCCUCAGAUGCGUGAUGAUGUGGACACAUAUGUAAAGACUUGCCUCAUCUGCCAGCCAGCAGGACAAAGGGACUAAUCUGCCUGCCAACAGGACAAAGGGACUAAUCAGAAGCCUGCCGGCCUGCUCGAGCCUCUUCCUUUCCGAAACGUCCAUGGGAAAGCAUCUCCAUGGACUUCAUUGUGAGUUUACCCCGAGUUGAUGGCUACAACUCUAUCUUUGUGGACCGGUUUUCUAAGUAUGCCACGUUCAUCCCAACCACAAAGGAGAGUGAGCGGAGAAGACGCGGAAAUGUUUGUGAAGAACAUUGUUAAGCGCUGGGUGUGCCGAAGAGUAUUGUGAGUGAUCGCGAUGCUCGCUUCAUGGGCAAAUUUUGGCGUGAAGUGUUUCGGUUGCUAGGUUCGGUUGCUAGGCUCAGACUUGCUGUUUUCCACAAGCUUCCACCCUCAUACUGAUGGCCAGACCAAACGCAUCAAUGCUUUGUUGGAACAGUACCUACGUCACUUUGUCAGCGCCAACCACUUUGUCAGCGCCAACCAGAAGAACUGGGUAAAGCUACUGGGUAAAGCUGCUCGAUGUGGCCCAAUUCUGUUAUAACUUGCAGAAGAGCGAGUCUUCAGACCACAGCCCCUUCGAAGUAGCCACCGGGCAGCAGCCGUUGAUGCCUCACACAGUUGCAGCCCAACAGCUUCACCAACCAGUUUGUCAGAGACUGGCAGGAACAGACGGAGAUUGCUAAGGCGUUCUUGCACAAGGCCGCCAAGAAGAUGAAGAAGUGGGCUGACAAGAAUCGGAGACCUGCUGAGUUUCAGGCAUCUUCUAUGGGCGACACCGAGUAUGAAGGGCCAUUCACUGUGGUCAAAAGAAUUGGGUAGAUCUACCGCCAGACUUCAAGGUGCAUUCAGUGUUUCACGUCUGCAACUUCAAGCCCUUCUAUGCCUGAAGACCCGGAGAGAAGCCAGCCCCGGAGAGAACCGAUUUUGCAGCGUGCUCCCUCUACCCGACGUGCCAGUGAUUGUCAGUUGGACCAAAUCCUUCGGUGAACUAUCUUGGUGAACCGAAGCUUGGUCAAGUGGGUAGAUGAUGAUCAGCCUUCGUUUCAAGCGAACCACCUACCAUGAAGCUGUUAGCGUCGAGGCUGGCGUUUGAUGUGAAGGGGGGAGCCUGUUCCCUAUCUGUCUAGAGUCUGUACAUUUGCUUUGCUUUUGUUGAGUCUUGGUGUAAGCUAGUUUGUUUCAACAGCAAGCUUUGCUUAUGUUGAGUCUUGGUGUAAGCUAGUUUGUUCAUACUCCCAAAACGGUUCCUUAAGUGUGAUAUUGGGAUUCUUUGUUUUGGAUGGUCGGCAUUGGGAAUUCUGUAAGCGGCUUCGGCCAUCCUUGU